GAAAUGCAGUAGAUUAAUUUUCCUUCCUGAGAAAGGUGUUCCUCUAAAUGUGGGAUUCUCAACUGAAGACAAUUCCUCCCCCGCCGCCACCCCACUACCCAUGGGACACUUGGCAAUGUUUGGAGACAUAUUUGGUUGUCACGGCUUGGGAGUACUAUGGGAAUCUAGUGAACAGAAGCUAGGGAUGCUGUCAACAUCCUAUAAUUCACAGGACAACCCCUCCUACACACACAAAGAAUCAUAUGACCAGGUAUGAUAGUAGUGCUGAAGCUAAGAAAUUUUGCUCUAAACCUCAUCUACAUCUGCCUUUAUUAUGGCACUUGGUAUGUUGAAUAUAGAAAUAAUAUUAUUCAUAUCCUUCAGGUAAUGUCAGAUGAAAGAAUGAAUGGGUGGAUGGAUGAAUGGACAGGUGGAUGAGUAAGUAAUUCAGAAUUAGCCAGAUGAAUAAAUAAGUAGAUGAAUAACGACAUUAAUUAGUGAAUAAAUUAAAUAAAAGCUAACAUGUACUUAGCAUUUACAACCUUUGUGCACCAUGUUAAGGCCUUCACUUGGGAUUGUGUUUCAAGUCUUGCUCAGUGGUCACAUUUUCAGUGAGAUCUUCCAUGAUGCUGUCAUUAAUACCAUCAGCUUUUCUAUCUCCCUCCAUAGUGUUAUCCUUGCAUAUAUGAGCAGGGAAUUUUUGCCUGUUACAUUUACUUCAGUGCCUUCAGCACCAAGGACAGUACUGGACACAUAGGGAACCCCAACCCUGAAUAUUUGUUUACAUUAAUAACGUGCCUUAAUACUUUCAGUGAACCAAUGAGAAGGGUACAUUUUUUUGUUCGUGCAUAACAAAAUGAAGAAACUGAAGCCCAGAAAUAUAAUGUAAUUUGUCCAAGGACAUGCAGCUGUUGAGUGGCAGAGCCAGGAUUCCUUCUGACCCUAAAGAACACUCUUAACUGUCAAGUAACAUUGCCUCUUUUAAGAAUGAAUGAGUGCAGGUCAGUUGCCUUAAAGACUUUACUUGACUAAGUUGAAGUUCUAAGCACAACACAACUAGUCCCUAGCCUAUCUCCCCAACUCUCAACUCCUUUCCUUCCUAAGGUGAAGCAAUGAUUGAACAAGGAUUGCUGAGCUUUGGCAAGGAAGAAAAGGUAUGCCUCCACUAGGCUGGCUCUCUUAGAGGCAGGCCAGACUCAGAGGAAUGUGCUAAAGGAGUGAUGGACUCCAGUCUCUUUGUUUCAGCUUACAAACUUCAAUUGGUUGCUAAGAGACUGUACAAAAGGAGGCCCAUUAGAAGCCCUCAGAACCCACAUGCAGUUACAUAAUACCAGGCCCUUUCUUUAUACAAAUGCAAAUAGUGCAAGUGCAAGCCCUGCCUGCAAUCUGUGCUGAUGUGAUAAGGUGAUUUCUGUUCGGGUCCCAAGAAAUCCUGUCUCAUGGGGGAUGGGCUGGAGGAACCAAACAGUAUGGGAGGGUUCUUCCUUCAGUGCCAUUUCCAAAGGACUUAAAUAUUAACAUGCAAUCCAAUCCCCACUCCACAAUAAUCAGAUUUUACACAAUCAGGACCCACAAUAAUUAAUUCAGUGAUCCUGCGGUAUUAUUUUCAACAUUGCAUUUUUGGCAUUUCCAGUCCAUAAGCAGGGAGACCACUUAUUUUAUGGCCCUGACUGCUGGGAAACUAUGACGUCUUCUAUGCAGGCUGAGUAAGUGUCUCUUACUCCUGGAACUAUUUCCUUCUUUGUGCUUAUCAAACCUAAUUCAAACAAGGGGGCCACUAAAGGGAAGUAAGAAACUUCAGAGAAGCCCUAUUUGCUCCACAAGCUACCUUUGGUUGGAAUCUCCUGGUCUGGAAAAGAACAUGAUUCCUGAUCAGCACAGAAAGACAGGCUUUACGAGUCACCAUUCAAAAUGACAAAAGAGGUGUAGCAAGGAAAACUAAUCCAUAGCUACCUAACCUACAACAAUCAAAGGACCUGACAUUCAACAUAUUUUAUUCCACAGAUACUUAUAGAAUCUCUACCACCUGCUAAACAUAUUCAAGAAGAUGAAGAUUUAAUGGUGAACCAGAGAGACAAUAUCCUCCUCCUCUUAAAGUUUACAUUAAGCCAAGAGAUAACAAGUAUGUAAAUGAGACAGGAGGUCAGUAGGACUGGUUUCACAAGAUACAGGUCACAAGGACCCCGCGGAUAAAACAGGAUGCACCACAGAAGCUGGCCAAAACCCACCAAUACCAAGAUGGUGAUGAAAGAAAGAAAUGUGAUGAAAGUGACCUCUGGUCAUCCUCACUGCUCAUUAUACAGUAAUUAAAAUGCAUUAGCAUACCAAAGAAAACUCCCACCAGCGCCAUGACAGUUUUCAAAUGCCCCGGCAACAUCUGGAAGUUACCCUAUAUGGUCUGAAAGGGGGAGGAACCCUCAAUUCCAGCAAUUUCCUGCUUUUUCAGAGGUGCUCUAACCAGAGUGACUCCAUCUUGAAUAGGGGCUAGGUAAAAUGAGAAUGAGACCUGCUGGGCUGCAUUCCCAGGAGGUUAGGCAUUCUUAGUCACAGGAUGAGAUAGGAGGUCAGCAGGACUGGUAUCACAAGAUACAGGUCAUAAAGACCCUGCUGAUAAAACAGCAUACAGUAAAGAAGCCAGCCAACACUUGCCAAAUCCAAGAUGGAGACAAAAGUGACCUCUGGUCGUCCCCACUGCUUAUACGUGAAUUAGAAUGCAUUAGCAUGCUAAAAGACACUCCCACCAGCACUACGACAGCUUACAAAUGCCAUGACGAUG
rnacentral:lncRNA from 10 species